GACAAUGAAAUCUAGAGUAAAAACCAAGCUGGUCCAAGGUGUCCUGCAGGCUAUAAAAUGCAGUUUAAUCGGAAGAGCAUGUGUAGGGAAAGAG